rnacentral:rRNA from 1 species
GGUUGAUCCUGCCAGUAGUCAUAUGCUUGUCUCAAAGAUUAAGCCAUGCAUGUCUAAGUAUAAACAUCUUUAUACAGUGAAACUGCGUACAGCUCAUUAUAUCAGUAAUUAUUUAUUUGAUGGUACCUUACUACAUGGAUACCCGUAGUAAUUCUAGAGCUAAUACAUGCGUAAAACCCCGACUGCAAGGAAGGGGUGUAUUUAUUAGAUAAAAAAUCAAUGCAGGCAACUGCUUCAUUGGUGAUUCAUAGUAACUGAUCGAAUCGCAUGGCUCUAAGCUGGCGAUAGUUCAU